rnacentral:pre_miRNA from 1 species
CUUGAGGGGAAUGACGUCUCGGCUCGAAGGCUCCCAAUUCACAAUCGAAAGUUCUUCAAUUUUUAAUUUUAAAUCGUUAAAUUUCUGGGAUUUUUCCGCCUUCGGACCAGGCUUCAUUCCCCUUAAU